rnacentral:rRNA from 1 species
AUGAAAGAACAAUUACACAUUGAGCAAACUGUAUGCAAACAAAUGAAUGAAAUAAAACUAAUUAUGCAAAUACGGCUAAAUUUAAUGUUAGUUCCAGUUAGAAAAAACUCAUGUUUCCCAAUGCAGACUGAGCAGAUGGUAGACUUAGUUUGGAGCAGAGAUAUGCAUCAGAAUUUUAAUCUUUGCAAAAUUAAAAGAAUGAUUGCUGCAACUUGGACCAAGUUCUUAUCCACUCACUGGUUACAGCAUCUUGCUAAUUCAGUUCAGGCAUCUAAUCAUGAUCUAGCAGUGUUAAAAUGUUGA